UACGGGGGGGGCAAGCGUUGUUCGGAAUUACUGGGCGUAAAGGGCUCGUAGGCGGCCAACUAAGUCAGACGUGAAAUCCCCAGGCUCAACCUGGGAACUGCGUCUGAUACUGGAUGGCUUGAAUUCGGGAGAGGGAUGCAGAAUUCCAGGUGUAGCGGUGAAAUGCGUAGAUAUCUGGAGGAAUACCGGUGGCGAAGGCGGCAUUCUGGACCGACAUUGACGCUGAGGAGCGAAAGCCAGGGGAGCAAACGGG
rnacentral:rRNA from 1 species